CUUAAAUUGAAGAGUUUGAUCAUGGCUCAGAUUGAACGCUGGCGGCAGGCCUAACACAUGCAAGUCGAGCGGUAGCACAGAGGAGCUUGCUCCUUGGGUGACGAGCGGCGGACGGGUGAGUAAUGUCUGGGAAACUGCCUGAUGGAGGGGGAUAACUACUGGAAACGGUAGCUAAUACCGCAUAACCUCGCAAGAGCAAAGAGGGGGACCUUCGGGCCUCUCGCCAUCAGAUGUGCCCAGAUGGGAUUAGCUAGUAGGUGAGGUAAUGGCUCACCUAGGCGACGAUCCCUAGCUGGUCUGAGAGGAUGACCAGCCACACUGGAACUGAGACACGGUCCAGACUCC
rnacentral:rRNA from 2 species